UAAGCAAGAUGGCGGCUGAGAAUUCUGGCCGGCACCGGGUGCGGCGGUUAGCCGGUGUAUAAAGCUGAGAAGGGGAUGAGGAGGAGGAGAAGUCGCAGCAGCCGGCAGUAAAUUAGAAGACUGCUCGCAAUGGAACAUACAAAUGAAAGCUUUGUUCCAACUAUUACUCAGCUUGAAGGAUAUCUCUCUGAACACAACUCCAAUGUUGUUUGGCUACUCGUAGCUACCAUCUUGUCCUGCGGAUGGAUUAUUUAUCUAACUUAUUACAAUUCCCGGAACAUAGGACUUAUUUUAACACUGGUACUAAACCGACUAUACAAACAUGGAUACA